CUGCGCCUUGCCAGCCCGCUCAGCGGUGGAGCAUGUGGUUUAAUUUCGAUGAUACGCGAGAAACCUUACCAGGGCUUGACAUAUACAGGAAUGUUGUAGAGAUACAGCAGCCGCUUGCGGUCUGUAUACAGGUGCUGCAUGGCUGUCGUCAGCUCGUGCUGUGAAGUGUGGGUUAAGUCCCGCAACGAGCGCAACCCUACUUGCUAGUUACCAUCAUUAAGUUGGGGACUCUAGCGAGACUGCCAGUGAUAAACUGGAGGAAGGUGGGGAUGACGUCAAAUCAUCAUGCCCCUUAUGACCUGGGCUACAAACGUGAUACAAUGGCUGGAACAAAGGGAUGCGAAGCAGUGAUGUGGAGCGAAACCCAUAAAAACAGUCUCAGUUCGGAUUGAAGUCUGCAACUCGACUUCAUGAAGUCGGAAUCGCUAGUAAUCGCGGAUCAGAACGCCGCGGUGAAUACGUUCUCGGGGUUU
rnacentral:rRNA from 1 species